rnacentral:rRNA from 1 species
UAGGGAAUCUUCCACAAUGGACGCAAGUCUGAUGGAGCAACGCCGCGUGAGUGAAGAAGGUCUUCGGAUCGUAAAACUCUGUUGUUAGAGAAGAACACGAGUGAGAGUAACUGUUUAUUCGAUGACGGUAUCUAACCAGCAAGUCACGGCUAACUACGUGCCAG